AAGCGCCAGAGCUGCCAUGCAGGGUAGCUGACGAGGUGGAAGUUAUCGAAAAUUCGGCGGAUGCUUCCCGCCCGCAGGCACACGGACGAAAGCCGUUCUCUAAAACCGCACCGGCGACGGUGUGAACAGAGGGG
rnacentral:ncRNA from 1 species